CAGUCGCCGCGGUAAUACGUAGGGUGCAAGCGUUAAUCGGAAUUACUGGGCGUAAAGCGCGCGUAGGUGGUUCGCCAAGUUGGAUGUGAAAUCCCCGGGCUCAACCUGGGAACUGCAUCCAAAACUGGCGAGCUAGAGUAUGGUAGAGGGUGGUGGAAUUUCCUGUGUAGCGGUGAAAUGCGUAGAUAUAGGAAGGAACAUCAGUGGCGAAGGCGACCACCUGGACUGAUACUGACACUGAGGUGCGAAAGCGUGGGGAGCAAACAGGAUUAGAUACCCCGGUAGUCCCUGUCUCUUAUAC
rnacentral:rRNA from 1 species